rnacentral:rRNA from 1 species
GACGAACGCUGGCGGCGUGCCUAAUACAUGCAAGUCGAGCGAAAGGACGCGAAGCUUGCUGCUCUGAUGUUAGCGGAGGAGGGGAGAGUAACACGUGGAUAACCUACCUAUCAGACUGGGAUAAUUUCGGGAAACCGGAGAUUAUACCGGAUGAUAUCUUGAAGCGCGUGGGUCAAAAGUGAGAGUCGGUGUUGCUGUCAGUAAUAGAGGGAUACGCGCUGCAUUAGCUGGUUGGUAAGGUAACGGCUUACCAAGGCUACUAUGCAUAGCCGACCUCAGUGGGUGGUCGCCCACCCUGGAGGGGGGCCGCCGUCCAGACUCCUGCGGUACGCCGCAGUAUCGAAUCGUCCGCAAUGGGGGAGAGCCUGACGGAGCACCGCCGCGUGAGUUGUGACGGUCCUCGGUUCGUAAAGCCCUGUUAGUGGUUGUGAACAUAUGUGUACUUAACUGUGCAGAUCUUGACGGUACCGAGUCAAAAAGCCCCGGCUAACUACGUG